UUGUUCAAAAUCAAAACCAUCUUAACAAAUAAUUGAUGGAGCCUGCAUCGGUUCGCAGGCCGUAGUCUCUCUCAUCUCUUUCAACUUCAUUGCUCUCGUCUCUCUUGUAAUUUUUUUUUAAUUUCUUGGUAAUUCGAAAUUCGAAACUAAUUUCACUAAUCAAUGUUUUCUUACCGUCUUUGUAUCAGUUGAAGUUAUUGAUGAUCUCAGCCACCUUCAACAUUUAUGGGAUACUAAAGUGGUGAAGUUCAUAAAUAGCGGAAUGAGAUAACACUUAACAGGUGGAGAUGCCUUAGAGAGAAGUUCCUUUUAUAAAUCGGUAUUGUGGAAUUCUACUCUUAAGGGAUUCUGCUACUCUGUUCAGUUGCUGCAAGGAAAAAAUUAUCCAGACUCAUUGAUUAAACGCUGACCGUUUAGGAUUCUCUGCUUGUUCUGCUCUUCACCCCAUGAUCCUUCGCUCAUCAGUUAUUUUGCAUAAUUUGACUAGCUCAUCAAAGUUUGUGAUUUUUUGUGGAGGUACUCAAAUAACUAUGUCCUGCCAGUUUUGUGAGGGUACAACUGUAUGUAAGCUGUUCCAUCGUUCAUUAGAAGGAUUGAAGGUGAGCCUGGUCUUUGUGAGGGUACAACUGCAUGUAUGUUGUUCCAUUGUUCUUUAGAAGGAUUGAAGGUGAGCCUGGUCUAUAGGCAUGCAUAAAUCUGGAUUCAGGAGCCAAAUUCGGUUCACGAUUCUUCUGCAUAGUAGGCAUAUGUGAAGAAUCUAAAGACAUGGGGAGAGAAAAUAAUCCAUCAUAUGUAUGCUUCACUAUAUGUGGAGGUGGUAAGCAUGAGAUAUGAUUUGUGGAGUACAACUGGGAGAACCUGGUAACAUUAUAUUGUGGUUGAGCCAUGGGGAAGUGCAGACUUUUGGUUUGGUUUUGAGAGUCUUGGCAAAAGGCAAGCUGCGAAUGAUUUUCAGUUUGAUGUCCUCCUGUUUCGGAAGCCUUCGAUGGUCUUGCAAAUGCUAUAAAGCAGUUUCUGUAAAAAUUAUGUUAGCUUCUGCUGUAGAAGUUAUUCAAUUUUCAUGGUGAUCCUAUGUUCUAUCACCCAGCAUUCUGCAAUGAUGAAUAUGCAACCUAUCCUGAUACAAGUGUAACUUGUGAGCUUUUCACUGGUUGAAAGCGUAGGAUCUUUUGUAGAUGUCACAAGGAAUGCUGAAACUAGUAUUGAAAUUGAGGUUGAAAGAAAACAAUUUUGGAGCUCCCGGAUGCUGUAGCAGAAACUGUCAAUGGUCACAUUUACUUUUCAGCGUACUUUAAUUAAUGUUAUGGAAAAGCAUUUUUUUCAUUGAAAGCUUUUUCUCUCUAAUGCAUUUUUGCAUCCAGGCUUGUGCUGUGACCUUGAUGAAUACAUACAUAAUAUUUCUCUGCUUUGGCUCAGCAUUGCAUGCAUAGUAUAGUGUUGGAGUUUUUAUUUCACCAAAUUGUGAACAGAUGCUUAGAUCGAGACGGUAAUUGUGCAAUACUAAAGUAUUUCCUUCCAGUUUUUUGAGGGUUCAACUGUAAAUACAUUGUUCCAUUGUCCUUUAGAAGGAUUGAUGAUGAAUCCAGUCCUUAUGCAUGUGUAAACUUGGUUUGUUUGUCAAACUGGGUUCAUGUUUCUUCUGUGGACUAGGUGUCGAUGAAGAAUUAAAAGACCUAGGAGAGGAAACAAGUCAUCAGCAUUCACUUUCCGAAUCAUGAACCUGUUAGGGUUUGACAUGGUGUUAAAAUUCUGGAUAGAAGGUAAUUUGAGCCAGAUGAUAGUCUGUACAAUGUUUCUGCAUUAGGUUUGCCGAAGACUCACUAAACAGGUGUUUGUUAUUGAACUUGGGGCUCAAAAGAUGCAGUCUCUGAAGGAUGCUUGAUUGGUAGCGAUGGUGGUCAGAAUGAGUUAUGAUAUAUGUAUGACAACGAGGAGAACCUGGUUUGUGUUGAGAGUCUUGGCAAAAGGCAAGCUGCGAAUGAUGUUGAGGUUUGAGGUUCUCCUCUUUCGAAAGCCUUUGAUGUUCUUGGAAAUGCUACAAAGAGGUAUCUUCUAUCGCCAAACAUUCUCCAAUGAUGAAGAUGCUACCUAUCCUGAUAAGAGGUCUCGUAGGUAUAGUUGGAAUAAUAUCUUUUUCGAACCUAUUCUUACAAAGAUUUACGAAUUUCCAAAUCAUGAUUCAACAUUGUACUCUGUUUUUAGGGUUUGACAUUGUAUUAAAUUUCUAGAUAAAAGGUAAUUUGGAGCCAGAUGAUAGUCCAUACAAUGUUUCUGGAUUAGGUUUAACAAGGACUCACCAGGUUGUUGGUUAUUGAACUUGGGGCUCAAAAGAUGCAGCCUCUGAAUGUAGUUAGUAUUUUGAUAUUCAUCUUAACGAUGGCUUUUUAGUGAU